rnacentral:lncRNA from 1 species
GUUUCCUCCAGGUGUGGAGAUGCUUGUAUCUGGGACCCCCUGCCAUUUCUCAGGACACCCUCCUGCUCCUAGCUGGGAGAUCCAGCAUCCUCAUGAAUGCGGGGCCCAAGGCCACCAACUGUUCCACCUGCUGUCAGCCAGGCCUGUUGCCCCAGCCCUACACCCACAGCUCACCCAGCAGGGACUGGAGUGUGCUGCUGCACUGCUGGAGCCGGUCGCCCGGGUCGGAGGUUGGGAAGAAGACAGCCGCUGGCAGGCCACUGGUUGGGGGGUCCAGCCGGAAGCCCACAGCGGUGAGGAGGGCCUGCCAGCCAGGGAUGCCGCCCACUUUGUUCUCCACACUCUGCUGGGAUGUGUACAUGGCAUUGCGCUGCCCAUUCUGGAUGCGCUGCAGGGAUUUCUCCACCUGAGGGGGAAUUGGGGUAAACACUGGGAUGCCGGAGCUCAGGCAUCCCAGACAGGAGGAAGUGUGUACUCACACCAGCCAGGAGGAAACAAGCCUGCCUGGGAGGACAGACGAUCAGCCCUGGCUGUCCCUCAGGAGCGGGGGGCCUCCAAGGCACACUGCCCACUGGGUCAAGGAGUAUCCAGGAGGAGUUAGAAGCAUGACCCAUCUGCCUGGCACCAGCACCUGGGGCUGCCAGGCAGCCACCCCUGCAGCUGUGUUGACAGGACCUGGCAGAGGGACUGACCCACCUUUGGAAAAUGACACCAGCAAUAUCAGGAUGUGUCAACUGGAUUUAUGCUAAGAAAAUAGGAUUUUUGGUGUUCCUCUGUUUCCCAAAGUUUGAGACACUUUCAGACACUCUGCUUUGCGGUUGUGGCCGAUGUUACCCAUGGGUGGGACUUUUGCUUUGCUCUAGAUUUUUGUAACACCCUGGGGAGUUUCAGGGGCCAAUGCUGAGAGAAGACCACAGGCUGACACAUCAUGAGACCCUCUGGGCAGGUCCACUAAGAGCAUGUAUUCUAGAACAUGCAGGGCUUGAAGCUUCACAAGAUAUUCAGUGCACUCCUUACAGAUCCUGUCAAAUGUGGACCGGGUGGUGUCAUCGCACCACCAUCAUCCCCUUGUUACCCCUGAGAACACAGCUUCAGAGAGGGUAAGUAACCUAUCUCAGGCCACACAGCCAGGACAUGGAGUAGAUCCAUCCUAAGUCUUUCUACCACACACUCCUUUCUACAGUCAUGGGUUAAAUGAGGGUGCCAUGGAAUGGGUCAUCCAGUGUACACUGACAUCAGGAGGAGUUUCACAUUCAUACACUCAUGGCAAAUGGUUCUGUUGCUCCCUGGUCCAAAGAUGAUCUUAAUAGUAGGAAAAACUCAUUUGGCAGAAGCAAGACUCAGCACACAGGCUCUCUCCCUGAGUCUUCUGUGGCUGGCCUUGCCCUGCCCUCCCCUCCCCAACCCCACUGGCAGAAUAAAGUCGGGGGGCUGUGAGGACUGAGCCCCAGGCCUUGACAGGCACCCGCAGCCAGCCGAACUCCCACCUGCCCAGUUGGAGGGGUGCGAGAAGGCCUUGCUGCUCUGCACCACCUUCAUGGCCUCCCCCAGGGCGGCGCUGGCUUUCAGGCCGUUCAGCAGGGAUGAGUAGAAGGCAUGGAUGAACAUCUUAGAAGCAGCCACUGGCACAGGCCACAGAGACACGAGGACACACUGAGCGCCGGCAGCCAGGAAGGCCCUUGUCAGCGCGAUGACCCCGUCGGCUGUGACUUUGCUGUUGGACUCCUGGGAGGAGCCAAGCACCACCAGCUUCACAGGCAGCUGCAGGUCCAGGACGUCGGCGGCAGUGCCUAACUUACUGAGAAUCAUGCCUGCUGUGAUGAGCCCUUGGAAACCAUCAGGACUGGAUGGUAGGGGUCCUGAGAGGAUUGGGGGAGGAGGCCUUGAUAUGACAGAGUGGACAGAGGCCGUGGAACCCAGGACAGCCAGCCUGCUCCACAAUCCUCAUCCCCACAGACCUUCAUGUGUGGCUCCUAAAUAAGAGGAAACCCACUCCUGAUAAGUCAGGGGCUUUGAAAAGUGAUUUUGUUUAAAUGGUGCAAACAAGCAAGCCAAUCUUGGGGAGACAGGGCUAAACUUAAGUCCUUUAAGAAGCUCUACAUACUGACAAGAUUCUAGUUCCCUUCCACCUUAUAUGCUGCAAAGUAAAAAGUAUCACUGAAUGAGAAAAUCAGCAUAAAGAAGCCCAAUAAUGUCUGCCUGAGUUUCCCCUAUGAUGACUUUUGGUACUUUUUGGGAAACAUUAAGUAUGAAGUUAUUUCAAAAUAAUUUUUUGGUGCCUCUGCUUGGUGAUGCCUUAAACUCUGGGUAAGAGAAACACCAGGUGCCUGUCAGGAGAUGGCCUUUUCCAGGUUUCUGGUUAAGCUACAAACAGCUAACUGGCUGCUGUCAUCAAAAUAAAAGCUUUCUGAAGGUGGAGGCAUCUGAUACCCAGAGUGCUGCUAUCAGCCGGCACGGUGGGCCGCUGGGUGGCAGGAGCGUCGAGAAGGCCAGCUCGCUUCCUAUCUGGGAUUCAGAAUCAGCUAUGGAAACUUGAGAGACCUAGAGAAAAUAACUUCUUUCACUUUGAACUGAUUCUUUGCUUCAUAAGAAAAGUAUUAUCCAGCCACAAAAAUGGUCAAAAUUCAGAUCUACAAAAGCCUGUCAGGCAGAAACUGACCCCACUUAGGCCACGCCAAUGAGCAAGUCAUCAAAGCAGCCAAGACAGGUCCUGUGGGGGCCACCCAUGCACAGGGCCCAGCCUCGGGUCCUAACCCCGCCUAUGCUUUCCGCCACCAUAAAGAGGCCCAUCUGGGUAAGACCUGUCCCGCCUGCUGUGGGGUAUUAGGGCAGAUGGGGUCUGAGGGGUCUGAGGGCUCUGAGAGCAGCUGGCAGCUCAAGGACAUCCGGAGUUGGAGGAUGGAGCAAUGCAGGCCCUUGUGGUAAAGACAGUCCUGCAGCCGCGCAGGCAGGGAUGCUGCAAGUGGAGUGCCAGGCGGGUGCGGAGCCCUGUGGGACUGUGGAGGGGUCAGAGGGAAGCCAGGAUUUUGGGGUCUCUGAGAGUUUGGAGAAGGGGAAGAAGAUUAAAGCUUGUUUCAAAA